rnacentral:rRNA from 1 species
UACGUAGGUGCCCAGCGUUGUCCGGAUUUACUGGGCGUAAAGAGCGCGCAGGCGGUCGUUCAAGUCGAGUGUGAAAUCCCUCAGCUUAACUGGGGAACUGCGUCUGAUACUGGGUGGCUUGAGUGCAGGAGAGGAAUGCGGAAUUCCAGGUGUAGCGGUGAAAUGCGUAGAUAUCUGGAGGAACACCGGUGGCGAAGGCGGCAUUCUGGACUGUAACUGACACUGAUGAACGAAAGCCAGGGGAGCAAACGGG